GACUGGUCCCACAGCGUCCGGCUUCCAGCUGUUUGGGAAGCUAAGAAAUAGCUCACUCUGCACAGGGCUUUUACAAGCCUACCGGGAGCAUGUCUGACAAAGGCCUGUGAAACGCAGUUUCUUCCCAGGCCUAAUCUCGCUGAAGUAGAAUAUCUGCUCUGCCGUGUCCUAUUUGCCCCUAGAGCUGCAAUUCACAAAGUCCUGCCUUGUUUCCACAAGGGGAGGCAAGUCCCUCAGCGUCCGGCUUCCAGCUCUUUGGCAGGCUAACAAACAACUCGCUCUGCACAGGGCUCUUAAAGCCUACCGGGAACAUGUCUUACAAAGGCCUGUGAAACGCAGUUUCUUCCCAGGCCUGAUCUCGCUGAAGUAGAACUUCUGCUCUGCCGUGUCCUAUUUGACCCUAGAGCUGCAAUUCACAAAGUCCUGCCUUGUUUCCACAAGGGGAGGCAAGUCCCUCAGCGUCCGGUUUCCAGCUCUUUGGGCAGCUGAGAAACAACUCGCUCUGCACAGUGCUCCUACAAGCCUACCAGGAACAUGUUUACAAAGGCCUGUGAAACGCAGUUUCUUCCCAGGCCUGAUCUCGCUGAAGUAGAAGUUCAGCUCUGCCGUGUCCUACAUGGGCCUAGAGCUCAAAGGGAGAAAGUCCAGCCUUGUGUCCUCAAGGGCAGAGAGGCCCCACAGCGUCCGGCUUCCAGCUCUUUGGGCAGCUGAGAAACAGCUUGCUCUGCACUGCUGUUUUACAGCCUAACGGGAACAUGUCUUACAAAGGCCUGUGAAACGCAGUUUUUUCCCAGGCCUGAUCUCGCUGAAGUAGAACUUCUGCUCUGCCGUGUCCUACAUGGGCCUAGAGCUGAAAGGGACAAAGUCCUCUGUUGUGUCUUCAAGGGCAGACAGGCCCCACAGCGUCCGGCUUCCAGCUCUUUUGCAGUCUAAGAAACAACUCGCUCUGCACAGGGCUCUUAAAGCCUACCGGGAACAUGUCUUACAAAGGCCUGUGAGACGCAGUUUCUUCCCAGGCCUGAUCUCGCUGAAGUAGAACUUCUGCUCUGCCGUGUCCUAUUUGACCCUAGAGCUGCAAUUCACAAAGUCCUGCCUUGUUUCCACAAGGGGAGGCAAGUCCCUCAGCGUCCGGCUUCCAGCUCUUUGGGCAGCUAAGAAACAACUCGCUCUGCACAGGGCUCCUACAAGCCUACCAGGAACAUGUUGAGAAAGGCCUGCGAAACGCAGUUUCUUCCCAGGCCUGAUCUCGCUGAAGCAGAAGUUCAGCUCUGCCGUGUCCUACAUGGGCCUAGAGCUCAAAGGGAGAAAGUCCAGCCUUCUGUCCUCAAGGGCAGAGAGGCCCCACAGCGUCCGGCUUCCAGCUCUUUGGGCAGCUGGGAAACAGCUUGCUCUGCACUGCUGUUUUACAGCCUACCGGGAACAUGUCUUACAAAGGCCUGUGAAACGCAGUUUCUUCCCAGACCUGAUCUCGCUGAAGUAGAACUUCUGCAAUGCCGUGUCCUGCAUGGGCCUAGAGCUGAAAGGGACAAAGUUCUUCCUUUUGUCCUCAAGGGCAGACAGGUCCCACAGCGUCCGGCUUCCAGCUCUUUGGCAAGAUAAGAAACAGCUCACUCUGCUCAGGGCUUUUAAAAGCCUACCAGGAGCAUGUCUUACAAAGGCCUGUGAAACGCAGUUUCUUCCCAGGCCUGAUCUCGCUGAAGCAGAAGUUCAGCUCUGCCGUGUCCUACAUGGGCCUAGAGCUCAAAGGGAGAAAGUCCAGCCUUGUGUCCUCAAGGGCAGACAGGCCCCACAGCGUCCGGCUUCCAGCUCUUUGGGCAGCUGAGAAACAGCUUGCUCUGCACUGGUGUUUUACAGCCUACCGGGAACAUGUCUUACAAAGGCCUGUGAAACGCAGUUUCUUCCCAGACCUGAUCUCGCUGAAGUAGAACUUCUGCUCUGCCGUGUCCUGCAUGGGCCUAGAGCUGAAAGGGACAAAGUCCUGUCUUGUGUCCUCAAGGGCAGACUGGUCCCACAGCGUCCGGCUUCCAGCUCUUUGGCAGUCUAAGAAACAACUCGCUCUGCACAGGGCUCUUAAAGCCUACCGGGAACAUGUCUUACAAAGGCCUGUGAGACGCAGUUUCUUCCCAGGCCUGAUCUCGCUGAAGUAGAACUUCUGCUCUGCCGUGUUCUACAUGGGCCUAGAGCUGAAAGGGACAAAGUUCUGCCUUUUGUCCUCAAGGGCAGACAGGUCCCACAGCGUCCGGCUUCCAGCUCUUUGGGAAGCUAAGAAACAGCUCACUCUGCACAGGGCUUUUACAAGCCUACCGGGAGCAUGUCUUACAAAGGCCUAUGAAACGCAGUUUCAUCUCAGGCCUGCUCUCGCUGAAGUAGAACUUCUGCUCUGCCGUGUCCUACAUGGGCCUAGAGCUAAAAGGGACAAAGUCCUGUCUUGUGUCCUCAAGGGCAGAGAGGCCCCAAAGCGUCAGGCUUCCAGCUCUUUUGCAGUCUAAGAAACAACUCGCUCUGCACAGGGCUCUUAAAGCCUACCGGGAACAUGUCUUACAAAGGCCUGUGAGACGCAGUUUCUUCCCAGGCCUGAUCUCGCUGAAGUAGAACUUCUGCUCUGCCGUGUCCUAGAUGGGCCUGGAGCUGAAAGGGACAAAGUCCUCUGUUGUGUCUUCAAGGGCAGACAGGCCCCACAGCGUCCGGCUUCCAGCUCUUUUGCAGUCUAAGAAACAACUCGCUCUGCACAGGGCUCUUAAAGCCUACCGGGAACGUGUCUUACAAAGGCCUGUGAGACGCAAUUUCUUCCCAGGCCUGAUCUCACUGAAGUAGAACUUCUGCUCUGCCGUGUCCUACAUGGCCCAAGAGCUGCAAGGCAGAAAGUCCUGCCUUGUUUCCACAAUGGGGGACAAGUCCCUCAGCGUGCCGGUUCCAGCUCUCUGGGCAGCUAAGAAACAACUCGCUCUCCGCAGUGCUCUUACAGCCUACCGGGAACAUCUCUUACAAAGGGCUGUGAAAUGCAGUUUCUU
ensembl:lncRNA